UACGUAGGGGGGCUAGCGUUGUCCGGAAUCAUUGGGCGUAAAGCGCGCGCAGGCGGUCCUUUUAAGUCUGAUGUGAAAGCCCACGGCUCAACCGUGGAGGGUCAUUGGAAACUGGGGGGACUUGAGUGCAGGAGAGAAGAGUGGAAUUCCACGUGUAGCGGUGAAAUGCGUAGAGAUGUGGAGGAACACCAGUGGCGAAGGCGACUCUUUGGCCUGUAACUGACGCUGAGGCGCGAAAGCGUGGGGAGCGAACAGG
rnacentral:rRNA from 1 species